rnacentral:rRNA from 1 species
UACGAAGGGGGCUAGCGUUGUUCGGAAUCACUGGGCGUAAAGGGCGCGUAGGCGGCUGUUCAAGUCGGGGGUGAAAUCCCGUGGCUCAACCACGGAAUGGCCUUCGAUACUGGACGGCUAGAGACCGGAAGAGGUGAGUGGAACUGCGAGUGUAGAGGUGAAAUUCGUAGAUAUGUCAUAGAACACCGAUUGCGAAGGCAGCUUGCUGGGCUUCGAUUGACGCUGAGGCACGAAAGCGUGGGGAGCAAACAGG